UCGAGGGGCAUCGGGGCGAGGAGCAAUCCUUGCCGCCGGCGACCGGCGCACGGGUGAGUAACGCGUAUGCGACCUGCCCGUUGCAGGGGGAUAAUCGGGAGAAAUCCCGUCUAAUACCGCGUAAUGCCGCGGGGCUGCAUGGCCCUGCGGCCAAAGGAAGCGAUUCCGGCAACGGAUGGGCAUGCGUGACAUUAGCUAGUUGGCGGGGCAACGGCCCACCAAGGCGACGAUGUCUAGGGGUUCUGAGAGGAAGGUCCCCCACACUGGUACUGAGACACGGACCACACUUAUACGGGAGGCAGCAGUGGGGAAUAUUGGUCAAUGGGCGAUAGCCUGAACCAGCCAAGUCGCGUGAGGGAAGACGGCCCUAUGGGUUGUAAACCUCUUUUGUCGGGGAGCAAGGUCGCUACGAGUAGCGAUUUGAGAGUACCCGAAGAAAAAGCAUCGGCUAACUCCGUGCCAGCAGCCGCGGUAAUACGGAGGAUGCGAGCGUUAUCCGGAUUUAUUGGGUUUAAAGGGUGCGUAGGCGGGAGAUCAAGUCAGCGGUAAAAAUGCGGGGCCCAACCCCGUCGAGCCGUUGAAACUGGUUUUCUUGAGUGGGCGAGAGGUAUGCGGAAUGCGUGGUGUAGCGGUGAAAUGCAUAGAUAUCACGCAGAACCCCGAUUGCGAAGGCAGCAUACCGGCGCCCAACUGACGCUGAGGCACGAAAGCGUGGGUAUCGAACAGGAUUAGAUACCCUGGUAGUCCACGCAGUAAACGAUGAACACUACCUGUUCGGUCUGACUG
rnacentral:rRNA from 1 species